GGUUGAUGGUAUCUAAUGAAAAAUGAUAAUAACCUAACUUAACCGAAUCUAAACCUACCUAGUUUUACCUAACCUAAAUAGAUAGAGAAAACACUGCAAUUAAUGAGAAUUUCACAAAAAUUUAUUUAACUGACUACAAUCGGUAUUGUUUCACUAUAUUCAGGUGAAGAUUAUUAAAAUUGUAACACUUAAUUUUAUUAAAAAAAAAACUAGUUGAUUGAGGCUGUACAUUAUCGACGAUUUAUCAAGGUUCUAAAAUUGAAAUUUAUGAGAAAGAAGUAAGCUCUUUCAUUCAAUUAAUUUAACAUAAUAAUGACUAAUAGUUUGGUGGAGAGGAUGUAGAUAAUUUAUUUGUGUUUUGGGCUCCCCUUAGAAGAUAAGAAAGGGGGAGUGGAUCGCUGCUCAACCGUUAUAGCCAAAGAUUCUGAAGAUGGACGACUGUUGCAUGACGUCGACCAUUCCGAUGAAUGGAGUGACACUGCUUCUUUUAAAUAUAAAAGUCUUCGAAAAGGCAAAUCAGGUUCGUUUCGAGUAUGCUAAAAAAUUCAUAGGUGACAUUGAAACUCUUAGUUUUAUUACCUAUUAAUUAGGUACCUCGGUAUCUAGACGAUCAUAAUAUGUAGCUCCUAAUUAAGCUGUAGCUAUCAGUAGACCCUGACUAUAUCUACCUGUAUCUACGAAAUAGUGUUU